AACACAUGCAAGUCGAGGGGCAGCACAGGUAGCAAUACCGGGUGGCGACCGGCGCACGGGUGAGUAACGCGUAUGCAACUUGCCUAUCAGAGGGGGAUAACCCGGCGAAAGUCGGACUAAUACCGCAUGAAGCAGGGACCCCGCAUGGGAAUAUUUGCUAAAGAUUCAUCGCUGAUAGAUAGGCAUGCGUUCCAUUAGGCAGUUGGCGGGGUAACGGCCCACCAAACCGACGAUGGAUAGGGGUUCUGAGAGGAAGGUCCCCCACAUUGGUACUGAGACACGGACCAAACUCCUACGGGAGGCAGCAGUGAGGAAUAUUGGUCAAUGGCCGAGAGGCUGAACCAGCCAAGUCGCGUGAGGGAUGAAGGUUCUAUGGAUCGUAAACCUCUUUUAUAAGGGAAUAAAGUGCGGGACGUGUCCCGUUUUGUAUGUACCUUAUGAAUAAGGAUCGGCUAACUCCGUGCCAGCAGCCGCGGUAAUACGGAGGAUCCGAGCGUUAUCCGGAUUUAUUGGGUUUAAAGGGUGCGUAGGCGGCCUUUUAAGUCAGCGGUGAAAGUCUGUGGCUCAACCAUAGAAUUGCCGUUGAAACUGGGGGGCUUGAGUAUGUUUGAGGCAGGCGGAAUGCGUGGUGUAGCGGUGAAAUGCAUAGAUAUCACGCAGAACCCCGAUUGCGAAGGCAGCCUGCCAA
rnacentral:rRNA from 1 species